AAAGUACUCCCUCCAUCCCAAAAUUCUUGUCUUAGAUUUGUCUAGAUACGGAUGUAUCAAGUCACAUUUUAGUAUUAGAUAUAUCCGUAUCUAGACAAAUCUAAGACAAGAAAUUUGGAACAGAGGGAGUAGUUG
rnacentral:pre_miRNA from 1 species